rnacentral:rRNA from 1 species
CCUACGGGAGGCAGCAGUGAGGAAUAUUGGUCAAUGGACGAGAGUCUGAACCAGCCAAGUAGCGUGAAGGAUGACUGCCCUAUGGGUUGUAAACUUCUUUUAUAUGGGAAUAAAACGUUCCACGUGUGUGAUUUUGUAUGUACCAUAUGAAUAAGGAUCGGCUAACUCCGUGCCAGCAGCCGCGGUAAUACGGAGGAUCCGAGCGUUAUCCGGAUUUAUUGGGUUUAAAGGGAGCGUAGGUGGAUUGUUAAGUCAGUUGUGAAAGUUUGCGGCUCAACCGUAAAAUUGCAGUUGAAACUGGCAGUCUUGAGUACAGUAGAGGUUGGCGGAAUUCGUGGUGUAGCGGUGAAAUGCUUAGAUAUCACGAAGAACUCCGAUUGCGAAGGCAGUUCACUGGACUGCAACUGACACUGAGGCUCGAAAGUGUGGGUAUCAAACAGGAUUAGAUACCCCAGUAGUC